CACUAUCCCCUCAUCAAGGUCAUUGAUGAAGAUGUUGGACAAGACCGGACCCAGCACCAACCACUGAGGAACACUACUGGUUACAGUGGCCCAUGACAAUUCCUCUUUACUCAGUGCAGCCCAGGCGAACCAGAAGGUAGGACACUCGCACUGUACACCACGUUCAGUGCAGCUGGUACCCUCAGGUCUAGGCUGCCUUUCUCUGCAGUGGUCCAUUUGCCUGGCUUGCAUGCCAAGCAAGAGAUUCCCUGAAGGGGAAACUUUUCAUCCCAGCUGCCAAGAGUUGUUUCUGCUACUGAUACAUCUUAUUUUGGAAUCCCCAUUUGGUAUCCUCCUUUAGCCCUGUUUCACACCACUGUUACAAUGAGAAAAAAUGUAGCCAAGGACAGAAGGAAAUGGGUUCAGCAAACAUUCAGCGCAGUGCGAAGCACUGAGGUGAGCAUUUCCAACCAUGGUGUGUAAAUAAAUGAUAAAAUACAAGCAAAUCUUAAACACAAGGACGACUUGAGUUUACAAAUAAAUGGUAUCCUUCACCCAUCAGGCAUCAGCUUUUUCAUCCUUAUCUCUCUGUAACAAGGUUUCUGAGCUCAGAAGGGAUUUUCCAUGUAGGGGCAGAUAUGUGAGGUGUCAAUGUGAGAACUUAUUAAAAAUAUACACAUUUUUUUAAUUGCGUUUGUGAACAUCUAAUACUCUGGAAGAAACACCUGAUGUUUAUGUGACUGUUAAAAGAAACACUGAAACUGAAGAAAUGAAUUCCCCGCUCCCAGCCAGGCUGCCAGGUGAGGUGAGAACACAGCUGAGGCGGUUCUGCCCUGAGAGAACGGACGGCAACGCCUGCGAGCUGCCUGUGACCUUCAGGUGACCCCGGCCGUGGCCUUCAGGUGACCCCGGCUCGGUCACCUUCAGCUGGAAAGAGCGGGAAGGAUGAGGUGAGGAAAAAAAGCGGCGGGAAGAGAAAACGGCGGGAAGAGAGAGAGGCGUUCUGAGCUCCUAUUGGCUGACGGGCGGCAGGGAAACCUAUAUAAGGCGCAUGGGCGGGAAGGUGAGCGACAGGUAUUUACCUCAGAGCACGAGAAGAAGCGGAGCGCUGCGAGGGAAGGACAGCAGGCGGAAUCCAAGCAGCGCCGAGACAGAGGUUUCAGGAUGUGCUGCCGAUGAUGGAAGAAGCGGUGUGGAGAACCGGGAGGCAGGAGCGAAGAUGAAGAGGCAGCAGAAGCCUGCAGAUGCGGGGGGGAAGGAGAGAGGCACCCUGGGCAAAGCAUCUCCCUGCUAGCAGGGGCAUAGUCGAAUUGGAGUUGAGCGUUGCCGGCACCUUGGGUGACCUGGCCGGCUUUGUGCUGGGCGACCUCCCUGUAAGCAGGGCUCCGGUCUUUGCUGUAGCUGUAGUUGGCCUUUUGCAACCUUGCUCCUUUGGCUGCCUGGGGAGCGUGGCCCCCUGUACGGAGGGCGAGAGCCACCUCUCCGCACCCGAGUGGGAAAUGGAGCUCGCUGGACCCCAGGGCCACUCUGUAAGCAGGGUAGUGCCUUUCCCUGCCCCUCCUCCUCCUCCGGCCCCGCAGUGCUGUUGCCUGCUGGUGGCCUGUCAAUGUGCCGGCCCUGUACUCGGGGUGUGUGUCACGGCGUUUGGCCUUUGUCCUUUCUUGAGUAGCCCCUUGGCACGUUGAGGUCUGUGGCCUCCAUGCAGCCCGGGAUGGGUCCCAGGCUCUUGUCUGUUGCUCGUAGGUGUGGGUUUAUUCCCAGGGAUUGGCUGUGCUGCGUUGUCCUUCCCUUCUGGAAAGUUGCAUCUGUGUGUGUGUUGCCCUUCCUUUCCUUGUUUGUGUUUGUGGAGUGACUGAGCACCUGUGCUUUCCCUUUAGGCCUCCUCAAAGAUUGCUGCAGCUUAGCUGUGACUUCCCAGGGGGGAAUGGAGGACUUUGGUGCAUGCCGCAUGA